GACCGCCGAAUGCUGGGAAACUAGCACGUUCGGUGCGGAGCAGGGGAAAAGCUGGAGAUGGCUUCAAAGGCUUACCUAUUGCUAAC
rnacentral:ncRNA from 1 species